CAUCAGUUAUAGUUUAUUUGAUAAUCGAAAGUUACAUGGAUAACCGUGACAAAUUACAGCUAAUACAUGCAGUCAGGCCUGGUCCAAGGGCCGUAAUUAUUAGAUAUUAAACCCUUUCCUUCGGGAUUGUGAUGAAUCAUAGUAAUCGAACGAAUCGCAGCAUGCUGCGAUAAAUCAUUCAAGUUUCUGCCCUAUCAGCUUUGGAUGGUAGUGUAUUGGACUACCAUGGCAAUCACGGGUAACGGAGAAUUAGGGUUCGAUUCCGGAGAGGGAGCCUGAGAAACGGCUACCACAUCUACGGAAGGCAGCAGGCGCGAAAAUUGCCCAAUCCUGACUCAGGGAGGCAGUGACAAGAAAUAACUACCCUAGGAUUUCUUAGGAGUGUAAUGAGGAUAAUUUACAAACCUUACCGAAAGCAAUUGGAGGGCAAGUCUUGGUGCCAGCAGCCGCGGUAAUUCCAGCUCCAAUAGCGUAUAUUAAAGUUGUUGCAGUUAAAAAGCUCGUAGUUGAAAUUCUGGUUGCUAAGGCUUCUAGUCCUCGGACGGAAGUGCUUACAGCCAUCCGCUUGUAAAUAUGGAUUCGCUCUUCACCGGGCGGCUAUAUGAGCAAGCAUUUUACCUUGAGAAAAACAGAGUGUUCCAGGCAGGUUUGUCCGGAAUGCAUUAGCAUGGAAUAAUAGAAUAUGACUGAGGUCUAUUUAUUGGUUUAGGGCCACAGUAAUGAUUAAUAGGAACAGUCGGGGGCAUUGGUACUUGACAGCUAGAGGUGAAAUUCUUGGAUUUGUCAAAGACUAACUGAUGCGAAAGCGUUUGUCAAGGAUGUUUUCAUUAAUCAAGAACGAAAGUUAGGGGAUCAAAGACGAUCAGAUACCGUCCUAGUCUUAACUAUAAACUAUACCGACUCGGAUUCAGAUGAAUCGUAAAGUUCAUUUGGGACCGUAGGAGAAAUCAAAGUCUUUGGGUUCUGGGGGGAGUAUGGUCGCAAGGCUGAAACUUAAAGGAAUUGACGGUUUUGCACCACCAUGGAGUGGAGCCUGCGGCUUAAUUUGACUCAACACUGGGAAACUCAUCAGGGCAAGAAGAUUGUAGGAUUGACAGAUUGAGAGUUCUUUCUUGAUUGGUCUAGUGGUGGUGCAUGGCCGUUCUUAGUUGGUGGAGUGAUUUGUCUGGUUAAUUCCGUUAACGAACGAGACCUUAACCUACUAACUAGUACCAGUAUUUCAAAUGCUGGUUACUUCUUAGAGGGACUAUGUGUUGUAAACACAUGGAAGUUUGAGGCAAUAACAGGUCUGUGAUGCCCUUAGAUGUCCUGAGCCGCACGCGUGCUACAAUGACUUAUUCAACGAGUAUUUCCUGAUCCGACAGGAUUUGGGUAAUCUUUUUAGUGUAAGUCGUGUUAGGGAUAGAUCUUUGUAAUUAUGGAUCUUGAACGAGGAAUUCCUAGUAAGCGCAUGUCAUCAGCAUGUGCUGAUUACGUCCCUGCAAAAUGUACACACCGCCCGUCGCUAUUGCCGAUUGAGUGUUCAGGUGAACCUUCUUGAUUGUUGCAAAACGAAAAAUUAAGUAAACCUUAGCACUUAGAGGGAAUAAAAGUCGUAACAAGGUUUCC
rnacentral:rRNA from 1 species